AGCUUAAUUGGUAAAGCACUCGUCUAGCAUACAAGAGUCCUGGGUUCGAAUUCCAG
rnacentral:tRNA from 1 species